rnacentral:pre_miRNA from 1 species
AAUUUCAGCUGAAAAAGUCAUGAACAUAAAAGUUGUAGAACUCAUCAAGACAUACAACUUUUAUUUUGGUCAUUUCUUCAUCCGACAAAAUGAUAGUAAUAUUGUUCACAAAAUUUACAUCUCUCUUAUAGUUUAUAAAACCAAAUGAGAGAUAUGUAAAUUUUAUAAACAAUGUUACUAUCACUUUAUCGGAUGAAGAAAUAACAAAAAUAAAAGUUAUAGAUCUUGAUGAGUUAUACAAUUUGUUGUUAAUGUCUUUUUCAAGUUGAAUC